UACGGAGGAUCCAAGCGUUAUCCGGAAUCAUUGGGUUUAAAGGGUCCGUAGGCGGCUUUAUAAGUCAGUGGUGAAAUCUCACGGCUCAACCGUGAAAUGGCCAUUGAUACUGUAGGGCUUGAAUUAUUAGGAAGUAACUAGAAUAUGUAGUGUAGCGGUGAAAUGCUUAGAUAUUACAUGGAAUACCAAUUGCGAAGGCAGGUUACUACUGGUGGAUUGACGCUGAUGGACGAAAGCGUGGGUAGCGAACAGG
rnacentral:rRNA from 1 species